rnacentral:tRNA from 1 species
GAGGAUAUAGCUCAGUGGUAGAGCACAUGCUUAGCAUGCAUGAGGUCCUGGGUUCAAUACCCAGUGCCUCCA